GGGCUGGGGCUCAGUGGCAGAGUGCUCACCUCGCCUGCGUGAGGCCCUGGGUUCGAUCCUCAGCACCACG
rnacentral:tRNA from 1 species